rnacentral:rRNA from 1 species
UACGUAGGGUGCGAGCGUUGUCCGGAAUUAUUGGGCGUAAAGAGCUUGUAGGUGGCUCGUCGCGUCGGGAGUGAAAACCCGCGGCUUAACCGCGGGCCUGCUUUCGAUACGGGCGGGCUAGAGUUCGGCAGGGGAGACUGGAAUUCCUGGUGUAGCGGUGAAAUGCGCAGAUAUCAGGAGGAACACCGGUGGCGAAGGCGGGUCUCUGGGCCGAUACUGACGCUGAGGAGCGAAAGCGUGGGGAGCGAACAGG